rnacentral:rRNA from 1 species
GCAAGUCAUUGGGAAUGUAAACCCAAAGGCAUAAUGAAAGUAAAGAAUUCGAUUGCGAAUUUGAGGAGAGAUCAAGGGCAGAGAGGGGGUUUCGUAAGACUCCUUCUCUCUGUUUUGCGCAUCUCCUGGACGUCUAUACCUCUGAAGGUUGGGCGUACCAAGAGCAUAUACGUUGGGACCCAGAAGGUGGUGAACUAUGCCUGGUCAGAACGAAGUCAGGGGAAACUCUGAUGGAGGUUCGUAGCGAUUCUGACGUGCAAAUCGAUCGUCGGAACU